CACUCCUGCGGGAGGCAGCAGUGGGGAAUUUUGGACAAUGGGCGAAAGCCUGAUCCAGCCAUGCCGCGUGCAGGAUGAAGGCCUUCGGGUUGUAAACUGCUUUUGUACGGAACGAAACGGCCUUUUCUAAUAAAGAGGGCUAAUGACGGUACCGUAAGAAUAAGCACCGGCUAACUACGUGCCAGCAGCCGCGGUAAUACGUAGGGUGCAAGCGUUAAUCGGAAUUACUGGGCGUAAAGCGUGCGCAGGCGGUUAUGUAAGACAGUUGUGAAAUCCCCGGGCUCAACCUGGGAACUGCAUCUGUGACUGCAUAGCUAGAGUACGGUAGAGGGGGAUGGAAUUCCGCGUGUAGCAGUGAAAUGCGUAGAUAUGCGGAGGAACACCGAUGGCGAAGGCAAUCCCCUGGACCUGUACUGACGCUCAUGCACGAAAGCGUGGGGAGCAAACAGGAUUAGAUACCCGGGUAGUCCCAUGAU
rnacentral:rRNA from 1 species